GAUGAACGCUGGCGGCGUGCUUAACACAUGCAAGUCGAACGAGAAUCAACGGAUUGAGGAUUCGUCCAAAUGAAGUUGAGGAAAGUGGCGGACGGGUGAGUAACGCGUGAGGAACCUGCCUCGGAGUGGGGAAUAACAGUUGGAAACAGCUGCUAAUACCGCAUAAUGCAACGAAAUCGCAUGACUUUGUUGCCAAAGAUUUAUCGCUCUGAGAUGGCCUCGCGUCUGAUUAGCUAGUUGGCGGGGUAACGGCCCACCAAGGCGACGAUCAGUAGCCGGUCUGAGAGGAUGAACGGCCACAUUGGGACUGAGAUACGGCCCAG
rnacentral:rRNA from 1 species